rnacentral:tRNA from 1 species
AGUUCCGUUGAGUAGUGGUCAAUCUUACCAGGUUUUGGUCCUGGUGACGGGGGUUCGAAUCCCUUCGGAACUA